GACGAACGCUGGCGGCGUGCCUAAUACAUGCAAGUAGAACGCUGAAGGAGGAGCUUGCUUCUCUGGAUGAGUUGCGAACGGGUGAGUAACGCGUAGGUAACCUGCCUGGUAGCGGGGGAUAACUAUUGGAAACGAUAGCUAAUACCGCAUAAGAGUAGAUGUUGCAUGACAUUUGCUUAAAAGGUGCAAUUGCAUCACUACCAGAUGGACCUGCGUUGUAUUAGCUAGUUGGUGGGGUAACGGCUCACCAAGGCGACGAUACAUAGCCGACCUGAGAGGGGGAUCGGCCACACUGGGACUGAGACACGGCCCAGACUCCUACGGGAGGCAGCAGUAGGGAAUCUUCGGCAAUGGACGGAAGUCUGACCGAGCAACGCCGCGUGAGUGAAGAAGGUUUUCGGAUCGUAAAGCUCUGUUGUAAGAGAAGAACGAGUGUGAGAGUGGAAAGUUCACACUGUGACGGUAUCUGACCAGAAAGGGACGGCUAACUACGUG
rnacentral:rRNA from 1 species